UUUCCGUAGGUGAACCUGCGGAAGGAUCAUUAAAGAAUUCGGGCUUUCGGGCCCCAUUCUCAACACUUUGUAUACCUAACUCUGUUGCUUUGGCGGGCUCGCCCGUCGAAGGACCGAAACUCUUGAAUCAUUGCUGUCUGAGUAUGAUUUUUAAUCGUUAAAACUUUCAACAACGGAUCUCUUGGUUCCAGCAUCGAUGAAGAACGCAGC
rnacentral:misc_RNA from 1 species